UGGAGUCAGAGCAGAUCCCUACCACUGCAAAUCGUCCCAUAAAUCAAGACCUCUACAUAUACUCAUUCCUGCCACCUCCACAUACUCAUUCCUGCCACCUCCACUCUGCCAGAUCGUAAUCUCUGCUCAUUACCGCUCUGUUUCUGGCUCCUGUCUCCUGUUCCACAUCUCACCACCAACCACCUUGCUCUGUAUAUCACUCACCACCAUCACCUUCGAUUCCCUCAGGACCUGGUCUACUCAGCCAACUCCAACCUCACUCCACCCUCCUGGUUUUUCUGAGCUACCCCGGUUCUGCACUCUCCCAUUCUCUGUGAUCAAUAAACCUUUUUGUGCAUUCA